rnacentral:rRNA from 1 species
CCUACGGGUGGCAGCAGUGAGGAAUAUUGGUCAAUGGGCGGAAGCCUGAAGCAGCCAAGUAGCGUGCAGGAUGACGGCCCUACGGGUUGUAAACUGCUUUUAUACGGGAAUAACGCGCCUUUCGUGUAGUGCUUUGCAUGUACCGUCUGAAUGAGGACAGGCUAAUUCCGUGCCAGCAGGCGCGGUAAUUCGGAAGGCCCGGGCGUUAUCCGGAUUUAUUGGGUGUAAAGGGAGCGUAGGCGGCAUGUCAAGCGUGCUGUGAAAUGUCCGGGCUCAACCCGGGCCUUGCAGCGCGAACUGGAGUGCUUGAGUCCGCGGAAGGCAGGCGGAAUUCGUCGUGUAGCGGUGAAAUGCUUAGAUAUGACGAAGAACCCCGAUUGCGAAGGCAGCUUGCUGCAGCGGAACUGACGCUGAUGCUCGAAAGCGCGGGUAGCGAACAGGAUUAGAUACCCUGGUAGUC